rnacentral:lncRNA from 1 species
AAAUGGUAAUGGUUGACUAAAGGCCAGACAGAGACAGAAAAGUAAAGCGCGUGAAGGAGUGAAGGAGAGAGAAGAUUCAGGCGCGAAGAGCUUCUCUUGCCGGCAAAUCUUGGUCUUUGAUGCGAAUAUUGGUCUUGGAUACGAAUCUACUAGUGCGAAUCUUCUGUGAGGUAUGCUAGAUUUCUUUAAUUUAGGAUUUGUGCACAUGGAUCGGUUGGGAAUGGGUACGAUUAAAUUAGGGGUUUCUAAUCUGUUGUAGCCAUUUGUUUUGUCUUGAUGUUUUCUCCAUCUUUUUGGACUUUAUAUACCCGACACGUGGUCCAUGAGAUUUUAUUUUUGCCAUUGUUGUCUUCUUCGGCCCCCCAUGUGCUGUAAAUAAUAAUUAUUUAUUUAUUUUUGUAUUGUUUUCGUUUCACAGAAUGAGUGGGAUUUGUCAAUUGCAUGUUCACUAUGGGGGCAAAUUUGUGAAUCAGCCUAAAACUGAGUACAAGGGAGGUAAGGUUGAAAUUUAUCCCCGUGUUGAUGUUGAUUUCAUCUGCAUGAUUGCAAUUAAGUCAUUUGUUAAAGCUUUAGAUUAUGAUAGCAAUGCUAAGGUUUAUUUUAAGAAUAAUGGUCAAACUAGUGAAAGUGGUUAUAGAUUGGUGCAUGAUGAUGACAGUAUUAAAGACAUGAUAAAAGUGUCGCCCUUUUGGUGUGAUUGAAUUUUUUGUUGAUCAUGUAUUUGUGAAUGAGGGAGGAGUUGUGAUUGAACCACCUGAUGUGAAUGAACAAGUUGCAAAAUCUAUUACUCAACCCCCCAAUACAGAAGAUAAGAACAAGGGGAGUACUAGUGCAAAGAGGACUAAGCAAAGGGCAUGUUUGAAGAAACAGGCUAUGAAUAAUCAGAGGAGGAAGAGUAAUAGAAUUAAAAUGAAUCAGAAAUCAAAUAAAAAAAGUGAUGAUACACCAAUUGUGAUUGGGGACUCGGAUAGUAAUGAUGCACAAAGUAAUGGUGAAAUAUUAAGUAGUGAUGAAGAAUUAUUAGAGGCUAGGAGGAGUUGCAAGAAGUACAAAGCAGAUAUGGCUAGAGUUAAAACAGAGGCAGGUGAUGAAACAAACUUUGUUGAUGGGGAUGUAGGUGAUGGUAAUACUAAUGGUGUUGAGGGUGAUGUAGCUGAGGGUGAUGUUGACGGGGUAGGUCAAGGUGAGGAGGCUGAAGAAACUGGGAAUGAGGGAGAUGAUGAAGGGGCAGAAGUUGGUGAGGCUGAGGGUGAUAAAGCUGCAGAAGGUGUUGAGGCUGAGGGUGAUAGAAGUAGUGAGGGAGAUAAUCUCAAUGACUCUGAUGAUGAUAGUGAUUGGCACAGUGAGUAUGAGGACAGUGAUGUAUUAAGGUCCCUCUCAGAAAGCAGUGAAGAUGAGAACCUUUGUUUUGUGGGUCCCCUUGUAAAAAAGAAAAAGGCAGAACGAUGUGAUAUUUUUAACCCAAAAACAAAGAGAAAACACAUAAAGUUUGCACACUAUCAGAUUUUUACCAAUUUCAAGGAAUUCAAGACUGCCAUCAGAGACUAUUCAAUUGCUAAUGACAGGAAGUUGUGGUACAAGGUAAACAACAAGGAAAUGGUGCAGGUUAAGUGUGAUAAGGGUUAUCCUUGGAAACUGUGGGCCAGUUAUAUUCAAGGGACUGAGAAUGUGCAAAUAAAGUCAAUACUGGACACACAUAAUUGUGUGUACAGUUUUAAAAAUAAGUUGGCAAACACAAAAUUUUUGGCAAAGUUUUAUGGAAAGAUGAUAAGGAAAAAUUCAAACUGGAGGUUGAAGGACAUGCAAGAAGAGAUAAAAAUUAAUUUGAAAUUGGAUGUAACACUUGUGAAGUGUAUGAGGGUAAGAAAUUUAGCUUUGACAAGUAUACAUGCAGUUAUGAAGGAACAUUAUUCAAGGGUUUGAGAUUUUGGGGCAGAGAUUAUGAGAAGUAACAAAAUGAAUACAGUCAACAUCAAAACCACUAGGCUUAAUCCUGAAGAUGAGGUCAGGUUCAAGAGAUUUUAUGUUUGCUAUGACAGCUUAAAGAAAGCUUGGAGAGAGGGUUGUAGGCCAAUUCUUGAAUUGGAUGGUUGUUUCUUAAAAACUGUAUGUAGGGGUCAAUUAUUAUCUGUUGUGGGAAGGGAUGAGAACAAUCAAAUGUUCCCUCUAGUUAUGGCUGUUGUAGAGACUAAAAAUGGUGACAGUUGGAGAUGGUUUUGGAGUUAUUGACUGAUGACCUUUGUCUUGGUGAAGGCUACGGAUUUAGUAUAAUCAGUGACCAACAAAAGGUAUAUGUACUAUAAAUGUCUCUGUUUUACUAAAUGCCUCUAUUUUACUAAUUGCAUAUGUUUUACUAACUGAGUUUGUGUUGUACAGGGUUUGAAGAAUGCCAUAUGUGAACUGCUUCCUCAUGUUGAGCAUAGAAAUUGUGCUAGACACAUUAAUGCUAACUGGAGGAAAAUGUUCACUUCACAGGCACUGAAGAGAUUGUUUUGGGAAGCUGCAUGUGCAACUCAUGAUCAAGCACAUAAGAGAGCAAUGAGUGAGAUUAAAAGGCUUUCUGGCCCUGCAUAUGAUAAGAUUGUGGAGCAUGACCCAAAGGUUUGGUCUAACGCUUAUUUUGGCACUCAUUCAAAGGCUAAUAAUGUUGAGAAUAACAUGUCAGAAUGCUUCAAUGCUUGGAUUAUCAAAGCUAGGUACAUUUUUACUAACUUACUACAAAUUGUAUUAUUGUAUUGUAUCAAUAUUGUUACAAGUCAAAUGCAUUGUUACACUUACUCUUAUAUCAAUAUUGUCUAGGUACAUGCCAGUUCUAACAAUGUUUCAGAAAAUUCAUGAUCAAAUCAUGGUUAGAUUGCAUCAGAAAAGAGAUGCUAUGCUUAAGUCAGAGGAUUUAAUUUGUCUAAAAAUUAAGAAGAAACUUGAUGCAACCAUCAUUGCCUCUGCUCAUUGUGAUCCACUUUGGGAUGAAAAAAUCUCAUUCCAAGUCAAGGAAAGAGGUAGAGCAUUUACUGUGAAUCUUAAUGAUAGAACUUGUGCUUGUAGAGUGUGGGACCUUACUGGCAUCCCAUGUUGUCAUGCUGUCUCAGCAAUUCAGUCAAUUUAUCAAAAUUCAGUAGACUAUGUAGCUCACUGGUAUAGUAGAGAUAUUUACCUCAAGACUUAUAGUCAUACUCAAGAGGUGUUAAAUGGUAAAGAUUUCUGAGAAUUCAUAGACUGUGACAUUAUGGGGCCUCCACCAAUACCAAAGAAACUGAGAGGCAGAUCACAGAGGCUGAGAAGGAGAGAAGGUUGGGAAGACAAAGGAAAUAAUGGUCAAGUGAAGAGGGUGAGUAGAGUAGGAAGGAAAAUGCAUUGUAGCAUUUGUAGAAAGUCUGAUCAUAGAAGGAACCAAUGUCCAGUUAAAGAGACCAAUGCAGAGCCCACAAGAGAUCAAGUUGAAGAGCUAACUAAUAUAUUUAAUCAAGAACCCACUGCACAUCCUAAUGCUUUGUCUGGUAUAGUAAUUAGAGAGGGAGACCAAUUCAACAAAACAAAGGAACCAACACCUAAUGUAAGUUUUCAUUUAGCAUGUUCAUUAUAUUUACUGAGAAUGAUAAAGGCUAACUAUGAGAUAUAUGUUACAGUACACAUAUAAAGGUAAAGAAAAGGUGGGAUACUCUAAUGAAAAAGGGAAAGAUAGACCCCCACAAGCAUUUAUGUUU